GAUGAAGAACGCAGCGAAAUGCGAUAAGUAGUGUGAAUUGCAGAAUUCAGUGAAUCAUCGAAUCUUUGAACGCACAUUGCGCCCCUUGGUAUCCCGAGGGGCAUGCCUGUUCGAGCGUCAUUUCACCACUCAAGCCUGGCUUGGUGUUGGGCGACGUCCUCUUUGGGGACGCGCCUCGAAACGCUCGGCGGCGUGGCACCGGCUUUAAGCGUAGCAGAAUCUUUCGCUUUGGAAGUCGGGGCCCCGUCUGCCGGAAGACCUGCUCGCAAGGUUGACCUCGCAUCAGGCAGGGAUACCCGCUGAACUUAAGCAUAUCAAUAAGCGGAGGA
rnacentral:misc_RNA from 1 species